CCCUUAGAUGUUCUGGGCCGCACGCGCGCUACACUGACGAAGUCAGCGAGCAUGUCCUACGCCGACAGGUGCGGGGAAUCUUGUCAAACUUCGUCGUGAUGGGGAUUGAUUUUUGAAAUUCUUGAUCAUAAACGAGGAAUUCCUAGUAAGCGCAAGUCAGCAGCUUGCGUUGAUUACGUCCCUGCCCUUUGUACACACCGCCCGUCGCUACUACCGAUUGAAUGGUUUAGUGAGAUCUUCGGAUUGGCGCCACUGCAGCUCAGCAAUGGGCUUGGUGGAUGCCGAAAAGUUGAUCAAACUUGAUCAUUUAGAGGAAGUAAAAGUCGUAGCA
rnacentral:rRNA from 1 species